GCCGGGCAUGGUGGCACAUGCCUGUGGUCUCAGCUACUCAGGAGGCUGAGGUGGGAGGAUCACUUAAGCCCAGGAAUUCAAGGCUGCAGUGAGCUGAGAUCAUGCCACUGCACUCCAGCCUGGGUGACAGAGUGAGACCCCAUCUCAG
ensembl:misc_RNA Metazoa_SRP Metazoan signal recognition particle RNA